rnacentral:rRNA from 1 species
UGCCAGACUCCUACGGGAGGCAGCAGUGGGGAAUAUUGGACAAUGGGGGGAACCCUGAUCCAGCGACGCCGCGUGAGUGAAGAAGUAUUUCGGUAUGUAAAGCUCUAUCAGCAGGGAAGAAAGAAAUGACGGUACCUGACCAAGAAGCCCCGGCUAACUACGUGCCAGCAGCCGCGGUAAUACGUAGGGGGCAAGCGUUAUCCGGAUUUACUGGGUGUAAAGGGGGCGCAGACGGCAAUGCAAGCCAGGAGUGAAAGCCCGGGGCCCAACCCCGGGACUGCUUUGGAAACUGUGCAGCUAGAGUGCGGGAGAGGUAAGCGGAAUUCCUAGUGUAGCGGUGAAAUGCGUAGAUAUUAGGAGGAACACCAGUGGCGAAGGCGGCUUGCUGGACCGUAACUGACGUUGAGGCUCGAAAGCGUGGGGAGCAAACAGGAUUAGAUACCCUAGUAGA